CAGUAGCCGCGGUAAUACGAAGGGGGCUAGCGUUGCUCGGAAUGACUGGGCGUAAAGGGCGCGUAGGCGGCGGCCAAAGUCAGGCGUGAAAUUCCCGGGCUCAACCUGGGGGCUGCGUUUGAUACUUGGUUGCUUGAGUGGGGAAGAGGGUCGUGGAAUUCCCAGUGUAGAGGUGAAAUUCGUAGAUAUUGGGAAGAACACCGGUGGCGAAGGCGGCGACCUGGUCCUUUACUGACGCUGAGGCGCGAAAGCGUGGGGAGCAAACAGGAUUAGAUACCCCUGUAGUCCCUGUCUCUUAUAC
rnacentral:rRNA from 1 species